rnacentral:rRNA from 1 species
CCUACGGGAGGCAGCAGUGGGGAAUUUUGGACAAUGGGCGCAAGCCUGAUCCAGCAAUGCCGCGUGAGUGAAGAAGGCCUUCGGGUUGUAAAGCUCUUUUGUCAGGGAAGAAACGGUGGAGGUUAAUACCUUCUGCUAAUGACGGUACCUGAAGAAUAAGCACCGGCUAACUACGUGCCAGCAGCCGCGGUAAUACGUAGGGUGCAAGCGUUAAUCGGAAUUACUGGGCGUAAAGCGUGCGCAGGCGGUUGUGCAAGACAGAUGUGAAAUCCCCGGGCUCAACCUGGGAAUUGCAUUUGUGACUGUACGGCUAGAGUGUGUCAGAGGGGGGUAGAAUUCCACGUGUAGCAGUGAAAUGCGUAGAGAUGUGGAGGAAUACCGAUGGCGAAGGCAGCCCCCUGGGAUAACACUGACGCUCAUGCACGAAAGCGUGGGGAGCAAACAGGAUUAGAUACCCUGGUAGUCCACGCCCUAAACGAUGUCUACUAGUUGUCGGGUCUUUAUUGACUUGUAACGCAGCUAACGCGUGAAGUAGACCGCCUGGGGUAAGGUAGUCGNGAGAGUUAAAGUUACGAAGAGAGUUAGNGNGNGAGAGCGACGACGACGACGACGGAGGAGGAG